rnacentral:rRNA from 1 species
GUCGCCACACUCUCACCAUGGCAACUAACCUAAAACCGGAAGAGGAAAGUCUCAAGUCGCAGUCCACCGACCCCUAUAUACCAGCCCCAGGCCGCAGCAAGGUAACAACAACCAAGCUGCAUUUGUACUGAAGGCUGGAAUAAAUUAACAUCUACUCUAUGCAUCAAAACCCCAGGGGCAUCAGAUAAGCCUCUACAAAAAUAAUUCAUCAAGCCUCAAAUCUACCGGGUCAUGCCACACCGCCCGUCGCUACUACCA